UGGCUACGUAGCUCAGUUGGUUAGAGCACAUCACUCAUAAUGAUGGGGUCACAGGUUCGAAUCCAUGUAGACCU
rnacentral:tRNA from 1 species